AAGGUUCGUCCGCCCUGGGUUAGUCGGGACCUAAGCUGAGGCCGAAAGGCGUAGGUGAUGGACAACAGGUUGAUAUUCCUGUACUCCCGAUAACCGUUUGAGAGAAGGGAUGACACAGUAGGAUAAGCUAAGCACACUGUUGGUUAUGUGUGCACAAGCAUUGAGGCAGUCAAAGUAGGCAAAUCCGCUUUGAUAAUGCUGGGAUGUGAUGGGGAGCGAAAUUUAGUAGCGAAG
rnacentral:rRNA from 1 species